AUCCAUUUAAGGAAGGCAGCUCAUCCUGCAGCACCAGGUCUAUAUACAGUAACGAGUCCCUUCCCUCCUGCUCUCGGGGGAAUGUCGCCCUCCACAGACACCAGCGCGAGGAAGGAGCCCCUCCAGUUGUAGGUGAGUGCCUCCGACAGGUCCCUCAGGGCCCAGCUCUGGUAGUUACCUGGUGGAGCUUUAGCUGAGACCCACCUCCGAGGCACGGGCUAGCAGACGAGGUCAGAGCCAGGAAUUAAAUAUGGCAACUCGUAUUUAUUACAAUUAUGUACAGUCAUAUCUUAUAUUCUGAAAUCUAUACAUGAUCACAUAAAUGAACAUGUGUUUCUCAGUGGGAAGGUCAGACAUGGCUGUUGGUCAGGAAGGCCCUGCUGCCUGGCUCCACCAGGAGGGAGAAGCACGCCUCACCACCGAGGAGCUAAACCACGACACAGCAAGCGAGACGUCUUGUGUGAUACAGAGGACAGCAGGGCAGGUGGGGUGGGGACAGGUGCCCAAGAGCAGCAUCUGUCAGCCAGGACUUUGGAAGGCUGGGUCCUAGGAGGCCCGCAAGAUGAAGAGCAGGCCCAGGGCCCUGGCUUUUGGAACAGGCAAAGAAGAAGCCACAAGCCAGGCCAGGGCACAGUGGGAGAGACAGCAAGACCACAGGGGCCAUAGUUUCCCUGCACUGAGGUGACAGAGGCAGGAGAUGACAUGAGCUCUGGCCAUGCAUGGUGCCAGGUGGUCAAGAUACUCGGAGGAUACACCUUGACAAGACACCUGUCAGGGAGGGGGCGAGGCAGCAGGGGCGUUGAGUGCAGAGCUCCUGAGUUCUCUGCCUGGCUUGUGGACAGCCAGAGCCGCUGGGGCUGGCUGGGGCUGGCUGGGGCUGGGCCGUGUUUGGGAGGCUGGUGAACAGAAAUGCAGCCCACACUGCUGCGCUGAAGGGCAGCCCCACCCCUACCUGGGCUUCCGCCCAGUCGUGGAGGCAGAGCCGCAGCCCUUGCCCACCUGCCUCUGAUGUCCCGGGGCACUGGGAAGGCGGGCAGCCAAGUGCCAGCCCUAGUCUCGCUCAGUCUCAUUGCUGGCACCUUCCGGCCGCCGCAGCUUCUCUACCUGCUCAUUGAUCUGCCCAUCGCCGCCCCGUCGGUCCUCCCUCUGCACCCCAAGGACGUCCUCCUCAUCCACAUGGCUGACGUCAUCAUCCUCAUCGUCCUCAUCCUCCUUGUCCUCCCUCUUCUCCUCCUCACCCUGCACCUCCAUCCUCACCUGGCCCUUGACAUCUAGCACCCCUUCACCCUCUUCCUGGGGACCCAGCAGGUGGUAUGUGGCCGUGGAGCCCUCCGGGCUGUGGCUGUCCUUCCCAGGAGAGGAUGACGUAGACUCGUUGCUGACAGGGGAGAUGUCACUGCUGCUGUGGUGGUUGACAGCCGCAGGGCUGGAGGGUGAUGAAGACUUCACUGGGAUCUGCCAGGAGGGGAUCUUCGGGGCCGACGGGGAAGGAGGGAACUGUCUCCUAGCAGUGGACAAGGAAAAAGAAAAGCAGGUAGAGGUUGGUGACAGCACCUGGCUCCAGUGCCACACAUCCCCUUGGUCCCUGAUCCCUGAACACUCAAGCGAUGGCAGCAGUUUCUCCAGGGUCACGAGGCAGGGCCCACUGGAGGCCCCAUCAGCCAAGCUAGUGUGUCUACCAGAAGUGUUCAGUGCUGCCCGAUGCCCUAACGCAGCCUCGCCCACCCCAGGGCAGGACCUACCCACCUUGGCAACUGUUGGUCUGCCAGCAGGGGGCCCAACACGCUCUGGAGUUGCCCCACCCACAUUCAAUAUUGUCCCUACUCCUCUCCUGUGGCCAGAUGGGGACAAGGAGGCAAAAGAGGACCAAGGCUGGGAACCCGGGAGCCCCUGGCUAAUGUGCCCAUAAUCUCAGCCAAGGACAGCAGUGGGGAACCCUGGCUACUGUCAUUCAGACCUCUGAGCCCAAACUUUGACCAAGCAAAAGCCAGCUCUGCUGGGCCCUCAGCCAGCAGCCAGCCAGACUGAAGCCCAUUCCAGGACAGACCUGGGAAGUUGGGUCAACAUGGUCAUGGCUCAGAAGUGCAGCUCUAUAACAUGAAGUCCUGUUUCUGCAAAGGCCAAGAGGACAAGUCCUGUUCCUGCCCAGGGCUGUGCCACCUACCAGCACUGGUCACACAGUCAGCCUUCAACCCCAGAGCCCACCCGGUGGCACACGCACAUCCGGGCCUGCACCACACACACACAAGCAGCUCAGUUUGCGGUUUCCUUGGUUUCAGGGUCACCUGAUGGCCUGCAUCUGUCCCCUAACCACAGAGGCACCUGUCUUCUAGGUUUGGAAGGCCAAAGACUUCUAAGGACAGACAAUCUGCAUGCCCUGCCUGACUGGCCACAUCUGUUGUGGAGACACCCCCCCUCACCUUAGGAAGUGUGCCCCUCCAGCCUGGGCUCCUCAGAGCAUGCCGUACCCCAUCCUUGCUGCUCCCACAAAGCCCACCUUGGCUGUGGAGGCCUUGCCUCACAGCUUCUAAGCCCCUGGCCUAGCAGACACUCAUGCUUCCAGGUAGAGCCCGCUUGCGUGCACUCAGGCCGACUGGCUGCGCACUCCAGCUUUCUGGACAGAGGUUUCCAGGACACUCCGCUUUCAGCUUUAAAGUCUGCUUGCUCCUCAACCAGGUCAGCACUACGAACACUGUGCUGUCAUUCCAGGGAGCACCAGGAAGCUUCCGGGGAGGCAGAGCUGGUCUGCUGAUGCGGCUCUCACACCCUGUAGGCCUCAGUGUAAUGUUGUCUGAGACAAGGCUGCCUGGAAAGAGUGGCCACCUCCAGGUGCACUGUGACAGUAGGUGUCAUGUACCAGACAAUUCUCUGCCUGGAGGCCCUGUCUCUGCCCCACUGCUGACCUCUCAGACAAACAUUUUUUUCUUUUCCUUUUUUUAAUGCAAUACUAUGGAUGAUAUCUAUCCCCUUGGUGUGGGAGCGCUGGCUCCUUAGGAGGGGAGACAGGAGUGCCUAAGGUUCGCCUCAAGAUCUUCAUCUUCCAGCUCAGUGAGGGGUCCCGUCCCUCCCGGGAUUGUUGUGCCAGCCCACAAGACCCCUACACCACCAGGUUGACCUUCAAUAAGCGAGAGCUCUCAGCUUCCUUUCCUACCGAUUCAAAAGAAGUCCUUUCAAGGAGUUGAUUUCCGACUUGAGCUCAUUAAUAUUCUGGGACUCCAGGAUCCAGUUGGUUGAUGUGGUGGCCUAUAGGUCAGAAGACAGAUAACACAGGUCACAGUGGUGCCUGGUGCCAGCCUGUGUCUGGGGUCGGGGGAUUUAGAAGGGCCCUCGUUGGGGCAAUAGCUGCAAGCCGCUCUGUAUACACUCUGCAUUGUCACGCCUGCCUGUGACAAAACCCUACAACAACAGUCCCCAACCUCUGACUGCUGGUGGUGCUAAGAAGUCAUUCAGUGUUCUUUGGUGGCACUACAGCACCCAUGUGU
rnacentral:lncRNA from 1 species